AGCUUCAGUUGGAGAAGGGCGGUGGCGAGAGAAGCUCGUGAGAUGAGGCGAACAUCAAUGAACACAAUAUUCUGGUGCAGACCAUAUCAACAGAUGGACACCUCCGAUAGAGAAGUGUCAUACUCUGGUCGACAAAGUCAAUAUCAUAAAAUGAGGUCCCCAAAACAAUAUUUAACUACAAUCAAACGUUACAAUUGGUGGUGGAUCAAAUCGUGACGCAACACUGAUGACAUCGAUGUUUAGUUAUUGUGUCAGAACAUCCAACUUACUCAGGGUUGUUAGUCAGGUCUAUUGUUACAGCUGUCCAGCCUCUUGGAAACCCAGACUUCGGGGACUGUGUCUCUGGCUCAGUGGGGGCUGGUUCAGCUUAGUUAGAUGGGUUUGUUGGAUGUUCAAGAUAUAAUUUUGGGAGAAGUAAACCCCCUCAAUCAGUUGUCAGCAGCUGAUCAAAUUCAAAUAACCCAAACAGUAGGUUAAAAGCAGUCUUUUCUCGGUAUUUUUCAUUCAUUUUCACCUGCCAUUAUCCACUAAAUCCAGGGUCGAAAACAGACUUGCCCCCUGCAGUGCGUCCAAAGAUUCCUCAAUAUGCGCUAACGGGAAUGCUAAAUGUGUUUUUGCAUUCAGUUUAUGAUAGUGUUCACAAAAUCUUAACCCUCCAUCUUUCUUACGGACUAGCACAACAGGGACUACAACUCUCCCAGAUCACGCCAUGCUCUAGCAUAUCAUUAACGUGGUGCUUAACUUCCUGGUACAGAGCAGGAGGAAUUCUUCUGUAAGGCUUUCUCGUGGGAGGUGAAUCACCAGUUGGUAUUUUAUGAGUAACUGCAUCUGUACAGCCGAAAUCAUGUUUAUGUGAGGAGAACACAUCAGAAUGCUCAUCUAAAAACUUCUCCAGUUUUUCUUUUUGUUCUGCCGU